rnacentral:tRNA from 1 species
GGGUAUAUAGCUCAAGUGGUAGAGUGCAUGCUUAGCAUGCAUGAGGUCCUGGGUUCAAUCCCUAGCACCUCCU